rnacentral:piRNA from 1 species
AACUAGAGAUUUGGACUACUUUUUCUGG